UGGGGAAUUUUGUGCAAUGGGCGAAAGCCUGACACAGCGACACCGCGUGAGCGAAGAAGCCCUUUGGGGUGUAAAGCUCUGUCAGCUGGAACGAAACAAAUGACGGUACCAGCAGAGGAAGCAUCGGCUAACUACGUGCCAGCAGCCGCGGUAAGACGUAGGAUGCGAGCGUUGUCCGGAUUUAUUGGGCGUAAAGAGUUCGUAGGUGGUUUGUUAAGUCUGAUGUUAAAGAUCGGGGCUCAACUUCGAGAGUGCAUUGGAUACUGGCAGACUGGAGUGCAGUAGAGGCGAGUGGAAUUCCCAGUGUAGCGGUGAAAUGCGUAGAUAUUGGGAAGAACACCAGUGGCGUAAGCGACUCGCUGGGCUGUAACUGACACUGAGGAACGAAAGCCAGGGUAGCGAAUGGG
rnacentral:rRNA from 1 species